CAGCUGCGCGCCGCACAUAGCGAACUAUUCUUUCGCCUUUUACUAAAGAAUAUUGUGUCUUCGUCGCUGUUCAAACAACAUACGACAUUUUUGGAGGGUUUUUCUUCAUGAAAUCC